UACACAAUACGCAUAAUAUAUUAUGUAUAUUGCAGUGUAAGUAUGACAUCAUCGUGGUAAUUAUUCAAUGACACAAUAUACAAUAUCCGUGCCGCGUUACGAUAUCAAAUGUAUAAUGAUAUAUUAUAUAUUAAAUUAUUAUAUUAAUAUAGUAUUAUUACUAAUAUUCUUUAUUACGAUUAAUCGAGUCGACAGCCUUAUCUAGUCAGUCGUCAUAUCCGCGGAUUCUGUCGGUGUUCGGGUGUUCAGACUUUCAGAGGGAAAUUCAAAAAUUAUCUUAAAAUGGUCAAGGGCACUGCGUCGAUUGGACAGGACUAACCAAUCGCGCGAGCGGGUGUAUGCGGCACACACGGUCGUGGGCGGAGGGUAGUUUUUGAACAUUUAACGGCAUAAUCAUCAGCGUAUAUUAUUAUCAGACGUUCAACACUUACCUUAUCAUCAGGUUUUCCAUGAAUCUCUCGAUUGUGAUCUCGUCCAGUAGAACGAAAUCCACAAUUCCCGGUUCAUCUCGGGUGGCCAUGGUAAUAUAUUAUUAUUAUCUUCUCGAUCGGCAACGGGAUGCUGUGUCGAUGUGUAAAGAUUAUAUUAUGUAAGAAUUGAUAUUAAACAGACAAUGUCGCGAGUUCGAGAAACGACCGCGCGAAUUGAUAUCGGUUGUCGGCACAGAAUAGUUACACGACACUAUAUAAUACACUAAUACCUACUACACUACUAUAGACUAUAGUACUACUGCUAGUAGUUAGUACUGCUGUCUGCUAGUUACUACAAUUAUAGUCGUACACACGGCGACUGGAAACUGUGGGAAGUGGAAGAGGCAACCGCGAUAUUGUGGGUGGUGGUGACAGUGCGUCCGAGACGGCAGACGCGAAAUUAUCGUUAGCCGCAUCAUUUGAUUUGUUAGUUGUUACAGUGUCAUAUUAUUAUGUAUCGUGGUCCUCGCCGAUACCAUAAUAAUAUAUACCAUUAUUACCGUACUUGGCAUUUUAUUAUUUUAAUCUCUUUUCUAUGAUUUUGGGGUUCCGAAAAUCGAAGGUGUAGGUAGUGACUAGUGAAGGUACCUAUUACCCGUGACGACACAGACACGGUCAUCGCCUAUUAUAGUUUGACUUUUGGUGUGCGAUUCACAAGCACUCAUAACGAAUUAACAACUAGGGACGUAUAACAUCGGGAACCAAGAAAUAUACAACCAGCUGCAGACGGCAAUAAAGUUUUUGUUUUUCGUUCUAGCCGAUUUACCACCCAGUGAGCAACUACAAUAAUGGAAAACGUAAUUUAUAUUUCGCUACAGGCACGCAACGUGUCAUUUGUUAUUAUUAUUAAGUUAUUAUUAUUAUUAAGAGAGCAGCUGCCGUAUUUAGAGAAUACAAAAUAUAAAACAGUAAACCACGUCUUAGAAGAUUGUAAAGAUUGUUAAUUAAAAAAAAAAAAAAUUCGCGGCAAUCGUUCAGUAAGUACCUACAUAAUAUUAUUACAAUCGAUUCAACAGUUACACAGUUUUUUCGAUUAUCGUCGUGUAAACACGGGAGUGUGUACUUGUCCCGGUAAUUAUUACAAGUUGACAAUUUUAUUAUUGACCUAUGACUUACCUUUGGCAAAGAAGUGAUAAUAAUUCGUUUCGAAGAAUCGAUAAGAACAAUAUUCCAAGAAUUUCCCGGAAGAAUACCGCAAUCAUAUGAAUAUCAACCUCUCAAUCAGAAAUCAGUAUCUUAUUUAACCAAAACACAGUUGAUGACAAUUAUUUUAUUCCGUUGAUAUGCAUGUAACUGCCAGUUUGUAUUUUUGUAUUCAAAACAUAAAACAUGUGUACAUAUGAAAAUCGAGGGAUGAGCUUUCGUAAAUUAUGAAUGAAAAGACUCACAGCUAUUAAUAGUUUUGCCAGUAGAGUGCAGUACCUAAUGCAAGACUAUAGGUAUACCCUGCAAAAUAUUAGUUCACUAUUCUACUCUACACUAAAAAAUAAGUACAAGACCGUAUCUGAAGAAUGGCCAAGCCUUUAAGGGGUCUGGAUUCCCCCAAAAUUUCUUCAUUAUUUUACAAAUAUUCAAAAUAACUAUUUUUAAUUCCAACAUAAAUAUUUAGUCAUAUUGUCAUAGAUAUAAAUGAAUUAAACUCCAAUUAGAUUAAAUUAACUAUUGACUGUUUUUACAUUAUCACCGGGAUUAUCACCAUUUUGUAUCAUAAUAUAUUACAAUAUUGUUAUAGCGUCUAAUAAUAUACUGUAAUUAAUGAACAACCGCUGUCAAUGCCGGUUAGAGACGACAAUAUUAAAUUAAUUGUGUAGGACGUAGGUUAUAAAACAUAAAUAUUAUUAUGAGUUAUGACUAGGGCCUAGGACUUACUAAGGGAGUAUUUAGAUUUAAAGAAUCUAAAAACUUCAU